GCAAACCGAGUGGGUGGAAGAUGUCCUUUGACUCCAUUGGAGGUAGGAAUGAUGCUUAGAGGCAUGGGUUUCGAUAAUACAACCCUAGUAUAUGUUGCAGCCGGAAAAAUUUAUAAA